GACGAACGCUGGCGGCGUGCCUAAUACAUGCAAGUCGAGCGCAGGAAACUGACGGAACUCUUCGGAGGGAAGGCAGUGGAAUGAGCGGCGGACGGGUGAGUAACACGUAAGGAACCUGCCUCAAGGAUUGGGAUAACUCCGAGAAAUCGGAGCUAAUACCGGAUAGUUCAACGGACCGCAUGGUCCGCUGAUGAAAGGCGCUCCGGCGUCACCUUGAGAUGGCCUUGCGGUGCAUUAGCUAGUUGGGGGGGUAACGGCCCACCAAGGCGACGAUGCAUAGCCGACCUGAGAGGGGGAUCGGCCACACUGGGACUGAGACCCGGCCCAGACUCCUACGGGAGGCAGCAGUAGGGAAUCUUCCACAAUGGACGAAAGUCUGAUGGAGCAACGCCGCGUGAGUGAUGAAGGUUUUCGGAUCGUAAAACUCUGUUGUAAGGGAAGAACACGUACGAGAGGAAAUGCUCGUACCUUGACGGUACCUUACGAGAAAGCCACGGCUAACUACGUGCCAGCCGCCGCCGUAA
rnacentral:rRNA from 1 species